GGCUCGGUAGCUUAGUUGGUAAAGCGCUCGUCUAGCAUACAACCCGACCAACCAGUCUUCAUAAUUCUUUAUAGAUCUUUGACAAACGAUGGCGAUCGCUAACGGUUCAAAACGAAUCUAUAUCGAUCGCUAUCGAAAAUCACUGACUGGUUGACCGGGAAGAGUUCUGGGUUCAAAUCCCAGCCGAGCAC
rnacentral:tRNA from 1 species